CGGCGGUUUCCGGUUGGGGCUUGUACGCUGCUAGACACGUCCGGCGGGGAAACGGAGGCUGUGCACUUUGGUUCCCACCUCGCUGAAUAUUCCUGGAGCCGUUGGCUUUCUUGUUGCCAGAAGUUAUAAAUAGGAGAAUUUGCAUUCCAAUUUGAGACUAUUUUAACUUGAAAGAGAAGAUACUUACUUAAAAACUAAAGCCUUUAAAACAG